rnacentral:lncRNA from 1 species
AGCGGAUAUAAAGCAGGCAGAAAAACAUGAAAAGGAGAGUCAGGCCUGGCCUCCCAGCUUCCAUCUUUCUCCUGUGCUGGAUGCUUCCUGGACUCGAACAUCAGACUCCAAGUUCUUCAGUUUUGGGACUUGAACUGGCUCUCCUUGCUCCUCAGCCUGCAGACGACCUAUUGCAGGACCUUGUGAUUGUCGCUCUUCAGGGACUGAGCUCUGGGGAUUGCAGCCUUAUAAGCGUCGCAUGCUGCACUGAGCUUCUACAGUGAGCCCUGCACAAAUCCAUCUCCAUUCUUCAAAACAACCUGGGGAGCCCUGGAGUGAUCUCAGAUUCAGCCCCAAGAUACCGGUCUCCCUAUGUUACCCAAGCUGGUCUUGAACUCCUGCCCUCAAGCAAUCCUCCUGCCUUGGCCUCUCGAGGCACUGGGAUUAUAUGUGUGAGCCACUACACCCAGCCCCAAAUUUCCCCUUUAUAUCAGGACACCAGCCCACCCUAACACCCUCAUUUAACUUAAUGACCUCCAUAAAGACCCUAUCUCCUAAUAAAUUCACGUUCUGCAAUACUAGGGUUAGGACUCAACAUACGGUCUCGGGGGCAGGGGACAUAAUGUAACCCAUAACAGAGGGCAUCUUCAUGCUCUUCGUGGGAGGCCUGAACCCAUUUCCACGCAAAAGAGUGGAUCCUAGUGGGUUUAGUCAACCAUGGAGGGAUGGGGGAAGGCGAAGGGAUCCGUGCAUUCCUCCUGGGGAGCCGAG